rnacentral:rRNA from 1 species
AAGGAUGACGUCAAGUCAGCAUGGCCUUUAUGUCCUGGGCUACACACACGCUACAAUGGGUGAUACAGAGGGUUGCCAAGGAGCGAUCCGGAGCUAAUCCUUCAAAAUCAUCCUCAGUUCGGAUUGCAGGCUGAAAUCGCCUGCAUGAAGUCGGAGUUGCUAGUAACCGCAGGUCAGCUAUACUGCGGUGAAUACGUUCUCGGGCCUU